rfam:Mus musculus chromosome 6, GRC primary reference assembly.
AACCCCCGGCAAUGGGCAAAGAGAUGCCUUGUUGGUGAUGUUGUUCUUAUAUCAGUCAAGAGCAGAGCAGAUGGCUGUCCUUUGUUUAUCCUCCCUUGAUGUCUGUCUUGGUGGCCAAACUAUCUUAUACCCAGGACUCAUAA